rnacentral:rRNA from 1 species
UUGACGGGACCGCACAAGCGGUGGAUGAUGUGGUUUAAUUCGAUGCAACGCGAAAACCUUACCCACCUUUGACAUGUACGGAAUCCUUUAGAGAUAGAGGAGUGCUCGAAAGAGAGCCGUAACACAGGUGCUGCAUGGCUGUCGUCAGCUCGUGUCGUGAGAUGUUGGGUUAAGUCCCGCAACGAGCGCAACCCUUGUCAUUAGUUGCUACGAAAGGGCACUCUAAUGAGACUGCCGGUGACAAACCGGAGGAAGGUGGGGAUGACGUCAAGUCCUCAUGGCCCUUAUAGGUGGGGCUACACACGUCAUACAAUGGCUGGUACAAAGGGUUGCCAACCCGCGAGGGGGAGCCAAUCCCAUAAAGCCAGUCGUAGUCCGGAUCGCAGUCUGCAACUCGACUGCGUGAAGUCGGAAUCGCUAGUAAUCGUGGAUCAGCAUGUCACGGUGAAUACGUUCCCGGGUCUU